rnacentral:rRNA from 1 species
AGAGUUUGAUCAUGGCUCAGAACGAACGCUGGCGGCAUGCCUAACACAUGCAAGUCGAACGAGACCUUCGGGUCUAGUGGCGCACGGGUGCGUAACGCGUGGGAACCUGCCUUUAGGUUCGGAAUAACUCAGAGAAAUUUGAGCUAAUACCGGAUAAUGUCUUCGGACCAAAGAUUUAUCGCCUUUAGAUGGGCCCGCGUAAGAUUAGCUAGUUGGUGGGGUAAAGGCCUACCAAGGCGACGAUCCUUAGCUGGUCUGAGAGGAUGAUCAGCCACACUGGGACUGAGACACGGCCCAGACUCCUACGGGAGGCAGCAGUGGGGAAUAUUGGACAAUGGGCGAAAGCCUGAUCCAGCAAUGCCGCGUGAGUGAUGAAGGCCUUAGGGUUGUAAAGCUCUUUUACCCGGGAUGAUAAUGACAGUACCGGGAGAAUAAGCUCCGGCUAACUCCGUG